AGAUUUUAAAUAGCACUUAGUACAAAAAUUAGCAAACAUUCCAAAAUGUAAGUUGAAGAUGGAUAACUAUACAUGCUCUAAAGUUCUGGAUCAUUAAACAGAAAGUGUAUAUCAGGGGAGGUUCAUAUCUCAGCCCUUUAUGGUGAAAGGAUGACAGUUUUAGUAAUUUAUCUAAGUGUUUUGGUUUAACAAGCCUGAAAUUUACUAAUCCUCAUUCUAGUCAUGCAUUUAUUGUUAACUUUUGUUAUACUAAGAGACA